rnacentral:lncRNA from 1 species
UUAUAUAUAAUUAAGUGUCCAAAUUAAUAGAAGUUCAUCAUCACAUUAAAACCAAAGUGCAUACAUAGUUCUCAUCUAACAACAUAUAGCUCUCCAAAGCAUCUAAUUAAUUAAACCAUACAUUGAAAUUAUGUAAAACAUUUCAAUGCGAAAACAAAUGCGAUCAUAAUCGCAACCAAGGUAACAAUUGAUCCAACGGCAUAAUGAUACCAAGCCUAAUCUUUCUAAUCUUCAAGCGCAUUGCAUCCAUCUUGAUCUUGUGAUCAUUGACGACAUCCGCAACAUGCAACUCCAAUAUCAUCUUCUCCUCCUCAAUUUUUUUUAUUUUUUCCUUCAACAAAUUGUUUUAUUCUUCAACUAAAUUUAACCUCUCGACAAUAGGGUCGAUUGGCAUUUCCGAUUCACAUACAUCCUACAUAAAUAAAAUCUAUGUCACGUUGGUCGGCAUAAUUUUCAUAAACAAUAAAUGAACCAAUAGUUAUAAAGAUAAUAUAUAUACCACAUCCGAAUCAUAGACAGGACGAGGGCCGACAGGGGCGGAUACCAAAACCAUCGCACUAUACAAGAUACAAUAAUAAAAGUAAGAAAAUAAUACAAGUAUCUAUGUAAACAUACAAGAAUAUUUUUCCUUUCAGAAAGAAGAUAAGAACAAGAGGCUCACCACGGUGGUGCCGGCGAUGAGCUCGGCAUGGGUGAUCGACGACGGUGAAGACGGGGAUGGGGCGUGACGGACCACUAAACCUAGAC